rnacentral:tRNA from 1 species
GCCAGUGUAGCUCAGCUGGCAGAGCGAAUCCUUCGUAAGGAUUAGGCCAAGGGUUCAAAUCCCUUCACUGGCU